AUGGGUCUGCCUUCUGGGUAUCAGUUAUUAGAGUGGAUUAGCGUGUCAAAUCCCCAGGAGAGGAGGUUAUGAUUUCAUCAAAGAAAAACUCAGCAGAAUCCUGGAGCUGCCUGGGAAGUCAACCACACAGGCAAAGCAGACCCCAGUAACCAGGAGUGCGCCCAGGACAGCAGCAGGAGCUCCCGGCAGGUCGUCUUGCUUCAUCAAAACAGUACACAGACCAAGGAGAAGUCCUAGAGUCGGCACGGGAAGCAAGGAUGGACACUUUCGAGUUAGGAGGGGCUCAUCAGACUGCAACCCUGUCGUCGGCUGAGAUGCAUCUGAACCCAGCCGUGCCAUCGUGGUGUGAGAGGCCAGCAGCCAGGGACCAUGCAACCUCCAGAUCUGUGAGACGUGUGUCUGUUGUGAGCCACCUCAUCCCUGAUAUUUUGUCACGGCAGCCGGAGCCAAGACAGGCAAGCGUGGCUCUGGGCCAACAAAACGUCACCGCGGACACUGAGGUUCGAAGUCCGCAUCCCUUUUACGAAUCAUGAAAUAGUACCUUCCUUUGGUUUUUUCCUGCCGUUUUAAAAUGUGAAACCUCUCCUAGCUGGGGCUGUGCAGAAACAGGCGAUGGGCUGGAUUUGGCCGUUGGGCUGCAACAGUUUGCCGGCCCCCGCCCAGGGCACGGACAGAGGCCUCCUCCCUCCACUCACCACUGACCUGACAACGGGUCGGGAUCCUGGUGCCUCGGUCAUUUUAGGAAGGAUGUGGACAAGUGAAAACACCCUUGAGAGAGCAUGGCCUCCGUGUCAGUGUUCCACAGAGAGGCCACUGAAGGCUGGCUGAGCCCGUGGGGCUCUGGACUCUCACUGGAGCGUUGGAUCCCUGCUUCCCGGUCACUGGCUAACAACUCACUGACCCCUUCUCAGCUCCCAUGUGCCACGGGCACAGUCACCAAGCCAGCCUGCAGGGUUUCAUAAGGCUUGGGGGUGACGGCCACGCAUCCAAGGCAUCGGCCAAAGAGAACUGUGUGGGCUUAAGGCAGAAGCCUGGGGCCAAAGGAUGAAAAGAAGACCCUGGAGGACAGUGUCCAGCUGAAGAGCGAGGCCAAGAGUCCUCAGACACUUGAAGGCCUGUCACACCACCGAGGGACUUGAUUUGUUAUUGUCCCUACCAAGCAAAAGUGGGGAAGCCCAUCUCAGAUCACACAGGGACCUUAUUGUCAUCCCAGUUGUCCCCGCUGGGACAUCUGCUUAGAGUUCCCGAGGCCGGAGGCAUCGAGACCCACCAGCACGGGAACUUGCCAAGGAGUGUGCAUCCUCUCGAGCCCCUUGGGAAAUGUGCCUGCCCAUUUGUGAGUCCCAUCAAAGUGGACUUGUUCAGUCCUGUUCCUUGAGGGAAAUACCUAGAUGCCGGGAGAACUGCUGUGCAGUCCCCGCUUAGCAGGAGAUUUCUGAUGGUCCCAAGACCAGCCUUGUUCUGGGGUAGGCUUGAGAGGACAGGAUACGGCAGCACCCAAGGUUGAUCCAAGAGGCAUGUGUCACCUCGGCCUGUAUGUGGCCCCAAUCCAGCAGAGAUGUCCGCCACCUACUGGAAAUGGAAGCAGAACUUGGUGCCUAGCCUUGUCUGUAACAGGCACACGCCAGGACAGACAGUCUCCUACAUCAGGAGCAUAGAACUUUCCGGAAGCCCCAUCUUCCCUGUGUCUCAGGCCACCCCAGCUAGGAGAUAAUUUGGGAAGUGGGGUCAUAGGUGACAGCUGGGCCUGCCAGCAAACGUAUCUGCCAAGUUGGCUUCCUAGCUUAAAUAGGUCUCCACGAGGGCAGGGGUACUUCCUCUUAUUGUCCAAUUUUCUUCUUUUUACUGUGGGAGAAGACACAUUGUGAGUCUUACUGUUUUAACUGUUUUAAGGACAGCUGAAUGGUAUAAAGUACAUUCAUGGUGUAUCUCAUCGUGGUUGGAUCUGCAGUUCCCUCGUGACCAGUGACGUGACCGUGCGCUUACUGAUUAGCAAGUUGGCUUUGGGGGAAAUGUGUUCUAGUCCUUCGCCCAUUUUCCAACCAAGUUGCAUGGUCUUCUCCUGCGAGCCUCAGGACUUCUCUGUGUAGUCUGGGUAUCAAUCUCUUACCAGGCAGAGGAUGUCUAAGUAUCUUCUCCUGUUUUACUGUUUUGUUUGUGUGUUUGUUGCUUUGUUUUCCAGUAUCAGGGCUUGAAUCCAGGGGCAAUUAACCACUGAGCCACAUCCCCAGCCCUUUUU
rnacentral:lncRNA from 1 species